rnacentral:rRNA from 1 species
GACGAACGCUGGCGGCGUGCCUAAUACAUGCAAGUCGAACGCUGAAGGAGGAGCUUGCUUCUCUGGAUGAGUUGCGAACGGGUGAGUAACGCGUAGGUAACCUGCCUGGUAGCGGGGGAUAACUAUUGGAAACGAUAGCUAAUACCGCAUAAGAGUAGAUGUCGCAUGACAUUUGCUUAAAAGGUGCAAUUGCAUCACUACCAGAUGGACCUGCGUUGUAUUAGCUAGUUGGUGAGGUAACGGCUCACCAAGGCAACGAUACAUAGCCGACCUGAGAGGGUGAUCGGCCACACUGGGACUGAGACACGGCCCAGACUCCUACGGGAGGCAGCAGUAGGGAAUCUUCGGCAAUGGACGGAAGACUGACCGAGAAACGCCGAGGGAGUGAAGAAGGUUGUCGGAUCGGAAAGCUCGGUUGUAAGAGAAGAACGAGUGUGAGAGUGGAAAGUUCACACUGUGACGGUAUCUUACCAGAAAGGGACGGCUAACUACGUG